rfam:Ictidomys tridecemlineatus contig037153, whole genome shotgun sequence.
GGACAUAUAGCUCAGUGGUAGAGUGAUUGCCUAGCAUACAUGAGACCUUAGGUUCAAUUCCUAGUAUCUCCA